AACGAACGCUGGCGGCGUGCCUAACACAUGCAAGUCGAGCGAGAAAGGGGGAGCAAUCCCCGAGUAAAGCGGCAGACGGGUGAGUAACACGUGGGUAAUCUACCCUCGGGCGGGGAAUAACAUCUCGAAAGAGGUGCUAAUACCGCGUAAUAUCCAUGAGCCUGCGGGUUCGUGGAUCAAAGGUGGGGAUCUUCGGACCUACCACCUGAGGAGGAGCCCGCGUCUGAUUAGCUAGUUGGGGGGUAAUGGCCUACCAAGGCGACGAUCAGUAGCCGGCCUGAGAGGGUGAACGGCCACACUGGAACUGAGACACGGUCCAGACUCCUACGGGAGGCAGCAGUGAGGAAUUUUGCGCAAUGGGCGAAAGCCUGACGCAGCAACGCCGCGUGGACGAUGAAGGUCUCGGAUCGUAAAGUCCUGUCGAGUGGGAAGACGAAUGUGAGAGCUAAUACCGCUCACAUUAGACUGUACCA
rnacentral:rRNA from 1 species